rnacentral:lncRNA from 1 species
ACCGCCCAAUCUGACCACUCGCUAAAGAGACUCGAUUGAGUCAUCAUAUUAUGAAUGAUAAUUUCAAUAGCAGAUGAGCACCAGGCCUUUGGGCCUCCAAUGAUCAUCCAACUAAUGAAUCCAUUAUCAUUCAACUUAAUGGGAGGUAAUGAUCUAGUAAUCACCAUAACUAUCUCAUUAUAAGGAUCUAAUAAUUUAGAAAAUUUAAGAAUUAAUUUAGAGAAGAGAUUUGACCAGCUAAUCAACAAUCUUCCCAUUGAUUUCAUAAGUCAUGAAGAGGACUACAGAUA